ensembl:snRNA U6 U6 spliceosomal RNA
GUGCUGGCUUCGGCAGCACAUAUACUAAAAUUGGAACUACAAAGAAUUAGUACAUCCCCUGCACAAGGAUGAGACGCAAAUUUGUGAAGCAUUCUACAUAUAC